GACGUAGGAGGCGAGCGUUAUCCGGAUUCACUGGGGCGUAAAGCGCAUGUAGGCGGUUGGACAAGUCGUGUGUUAAAGCCCCUGGCUCAACUGGGGGAGGUCAUGCGAGACUGUGCGACUUGAGGGCAAGAGAGGCACGUGGAACUCCCGGUGUAGCGGUGGAAUGCGUAGAGAUCGGGAAGAACACCAGUGGCGAAGGCGACGUGCUGGGUUGCACCUGACGCUGAGAUGCGAAAGUGCGGGGGAGCAAAACGGG
rnacentral:rRNA from 1 species